rnacentral:rRNA from 1 species
CAGCCGCCGCGGUAAUACCGGCGGCCCGAGUGGCGGUCACUAUUAUUGGGCUUAAAGCGUCCGUAGCCGGGUUGGUUAGUCUCCCGGGAAAUCUGGCCGCUUAACGGUCAGAAUUCCGGGAGAUACUGCCAGCCUAGGGACCGGGAGAGGCCGAGGGGAUUCCCGGGGUAGGGGUGAAAUCCUAUAAUCCCGGGAGGACCACCUGUGGCGAAGGCGCUCGGCUGGAACGGGUCCGACGGUGAGGGACGAAGGCCAGGGGAGCAAACCGGAUUAGAUACCCGGGUAGUCCUGGCUGUAAACGAUGCGGACUUUGUGUCGGACAAGCUAUGAGCUUGUCCGGUGCCGGAGGGAAACCGUUAAGUCCGCCGCCUGGGGAGUACGGCCGCAAGGCUGAAACUUAAAGGAAUUGGCGGG